GAAGCACUUGUUAUGCUCCUACUGGGGAAACCGUCCUGAGCCUAAGCAUGAUGCUCCAAUGCUUCCAUGCUUCGAGGGACACAAAGGUGAUUCAGCCCACAGCCCUUACACCCGCUGCCUUAGAAGAGCCCACAAAGGAACAAGCAGGUCCCAGGAGGUGGUAAGUCAAGAUGGACAGCCUCUUGCAACACAUAGGAAGAUCCAAGACCUCGGCUGCCUCACUGUGUGACCUCAAGCAGGCCCCCCACCUCUCAGCCUCCAUUUCACCAACUAUAAAGUGAGGAGACUACUUGAUCGAGUCCUUCCCAGCUCCAAAGCCCUGAAUCUAUAAAAACAGCACCUAAUGGCCAGGCGUGGUAGCUCAUGCCUGCAAUCCCAGCACUUUGGGAGGCGCCCUAACACACAGUAAACGUGAAAUGUACUUGUUGAAUAUAAGCAUGACACCAUUUACUGAAAUACCACACACUCCUCUCAUCCUCAUUCUAGCAAAUACCAUUCUCCCCAUUUUACAGGUGAAGAAACUGAGGCUAGGGGAAGGUAAGGAACCCACUCAAGGUCACACCGCUGGAAACUGACAAACAGCCAGGUCGCUCUGAAGAGACCUGGGGGCAAAACUGCCCGCAGGCCAUUCUGAAAGCUCUCCUGGGUGGGGAGGGCAACAAUGGGCGUUCAGGGGGUGGGGCUCUGUAUUCCCUUAGCCUCGCAGGGCACACCGGGCUGCU
rnacentral:lncRNA from 1 species